UGCCGGAUCGUCUAACUGGCAGGACGCUGCGUUCUGGUCGCAGAAAUCCUGGUUCGAACCCAGGUCCGGCAG
rnacentral:tRNA from 1 species